AUGUGCAAACUUCCCCUUUGGUGUUCUAUAGUAUUGCUGUUAUUCCCAGUCCCUGCAAAUGCCAGGGUGUGGAUGAACCAGUGGUCCUCAAAGAAUGCUUACAUAGUAGGGGAAACAGCUGCUCUUUAUUGCAACAUAACCUCAGAUCAUGAGGAAAUAAGAAAUUGCAAAAUGAGAUGGAUCAUUGAAGAUCAAGGUGAUGUCACAAGUUUGGAGUUGUAUACGCAACGUGUCAACAUAAAUUUGAGCAAAACAGCUACUACUAUGACAUUGAGAAACCUGACCUUGAAUGACACCAUUAUGCCAAUUUGCAUCGCAAAGUGCAUCAUUGACAGUGUCAACAGCAAGGUUUAUGGGGAGGGUGGCACACUUCACAUUUUUGAAGACAUCAACCAGAUGACCCUGGUCUCAAAGUUGACAACACUGGUCCCAGAGUUGACAACACUGGUCCCAAAGGAAAUCAAACAGGAACAUGCUCUCACUUGGCUGAACCAUGUUUUUCUCAGCAUAAACAUCCUGAUUUUCAUUGUGGCCACAAUAAUUUGUGUGUCAUACAUCAGAACCCAAAUGAAUAUGAAUUAA
rnacentral:lncRNA from 13 species